GACGAACGCUGGCGGCGUGCUUAACACAUGCAAGUCGAGCGGUGCGGCGCACGGGUGAGUAACGCGUGAGUAACUGCCCCCCUCUCUGGGAUAACAGUCGGAAACGGCUCCUAAUACCGGACAGUGGGGGAUGCCACGCGUACUAUCAGCUUGUUGGUGGGGCAUGGGCCUACCAAGGUGACGACGGGUAGCCGGCCUGAGAGGGCGACCGGCCACAUUGAGCUGAGAUACCGCCCUAACUCCUACGGGAGACAGCAAUGAGGAAUAUUGCACGAUGGGGGAAGACCUGAUGCAGGAACGCCGCAUGCGGGAUAACGGCCUUCGGAUUGUAAACCGCUUUCAGACAUGACGCGGUAGUGGCAUAAAAAGCACCGGCUAACUACGUGCCAGCAGCCGCAGUAAUAC
rnacentral:rRNA from 1 species